rfam:Marivita cryptomonadis strain CL-SK44 contig3, whole genome shotgun sequence.
CUCUGGAGAGAUUUCGGGCGUGACCCGGAACGCCGAAGGGAUAACGAUCUCAGGCAAAAGGACAGAG